rnacentral:rRNA from 1 species
AUGUAUCAGCUGGAGACCAUGGACGACUCCAGCUUGUUCAUGCAGUGGGCCGUGGACACGCUGCAGCACGACCACCCGCCGCUCGCCGCUGCCUACGCCGCCGGCGACAACUUCCCAUCACUCGAAGAGCUCCGCCGCUCGGCGUUGCAGCACGGCACGGCUCCGGCGGGAAUGGCGGUACAAGACGGCCACCGUCUCCUAUCCACCGACAGCUGGAGCUCCGGCGACAGCGGCGGCCGUGAAAGCACGUCUGCCGCGGUCGUGGAGAACGACGUCAACUGCGCGACGACCUGCAGCGUCGGCAGCAGCAACAACUACCUGCCCAUGAGCUGGAACUUCACCUCGGCCAUGGCGCAGCCGAGCAACGAGGCGGCGCCAAGCCCCGCCACCGCUCCCUCAGCUGGAGCGCUCGACGGCCCCGGCGUGGUGGAGCAGGCCCACGUGUCGCCGCCGUCGAGGAGAGCCUCCGCCAAGAGCGCCGCCAGGGCUGGACACGCGCCGUACGCGCAGGACCACAUCAUGGCGGAGCGGAAGCGCCGGGAGAAGAUCAACCGGCGAUUCAUCGAGCUCUCCACCGUCAUCCCCGGCCUCAAGAAGAUGGACAAGGCGACGAUCCUUUCGGACGCCGUCAAGUACGUCAAGGAGCAGCAGGAAAAGCUCAAGGCGCUCGAGGACCGCAACCUCAGGAGCGUCGCCGUCGAGUCGGUGGUGCUCGUCAAGAAGUCGCGCACCGCCGUGCCGCAAGACGAUGACGUCGGCGGCUGCUGCCGGUCACCGUCUGCAGGUCCCGGGGCAGCAGCUGGAAGCACCACGACGACGACCGGGAGCGUGCUGCCGGAGAUCGAGGCGAGGAUCUCAGAGAGCAACGUGAUGGUGAGGAUCCACUGCGAGGACGGCAAGGGGGUGCUUAUCAGGCUGCUCGCCGAGGUCGAGGGGCUACACCUGAGCAUCACGCACGCCAAUGCCGUCCCGUUCCAGGCUUGCACUGUCAUCAUAACCGUCAUGGCAAAGGUGGACGAAGGCUUCAGCGUCACGGCGGAGGACAUUGUUGGGAGGAUAGAGGCGGCGUUGGCUGCACCCACGUCAUAG